CGUGUAGGCGGUUUGGCAAGUCAGAUGUGAAAGCCCCGGGCUCAACCCGGGAAGUGCAUUUGAAACUGCUUCACUAGAGUAUGGGAGAGGAGAUUGGAAUUCCUGGUGUAGAGGUGAAAUUCGUAGAUAUCAGGAGGAACACCCGUGGCGAAGGCGAUUCUCUGGACCAAUACUGACGCUGAGACGCGAAAGCGUGGGGAGCAAACA
rnacentral:rRNA from 1 species